CCCUCUCUCUCUGCCCCUCCCCUGCUAAUGCUCUGUCUCUGUCGCUCAAAAAAUAAGUAAACGUUAAGAAAAUGAAAAAGAAAGUAAGGGAAGGUGUGAGACUGAGAGUGAGUGGUGGUGGCUGGAGAGAGGUUAGGAAGGAGGUUAUUUUUAGGAAGGCUUGGGUGGGAACGAAAACUGGGCGAGUGGAGGCAGGGGCAGUGCAGCCAGGGCACGGCUUGCGCGCCUGGAAAGGGUCGACCAGUUCCCUAGAACCUCCCAUUUCUUCUCAUAUUCUCAUAAUCCUUCCUCACCAAGUCAGAAGAGGAAGUCAGCCCCAAUGACUGGAGGGGAGGUGGGAUGGCAGGAAGGCACUGUCUUGUGCAUGUUACCCGCCCCCUGCGUUCUUACAGGAGGAAGAUUCGCUCACUAUAGAAAAUAUAGGUGUGCAGGACAAUCUGUUAGGCACCAUAGGGAUUUCACAAACGUGACAGCUGAUAGCUGCUCUCUAUUUGCUGAGACAGCUUUUGAGCUGGUCUUUUUUUUUUUGGUUUGCGUUUUUUUGUUUGUCUUCUGUUUUUGUUUUGGUUUUGGUCCCACGUUUCCUAAGUUAGUGACCCACAAAACAGCUUUCCCCUUCAAAACAAACCUUACCAUGUCUGUAGUGGUUUUUUAUUUGUAACGUGUGACCAGUUCUCAGUUAUCCAGAAUACCAUAGAAGUAUGGCGUUGGGAGAGAGAGGAAACAAAAGAUGUCAUUGGGUUAGACCAACGGUGUCCUUCUCUAGGAGGUAAGAGGUAGGUUAUAUCUCCACGUGAAGAUCAAGAGAUUGUGAAUUUAACUUGACUAAAUCUAUUUACUAGAUUGUUUUAUUUCAGUGCCUUGAAUGGGUCUUUAAGGCCUUUGAAUCCAUUGACCUUUAACCGAAUAUUAACUAGAAACUUAAUACUAAUCAUAAAUAGCUCUCUCACAGGGGAGAGAGCUUUGUGUUAUAUUUGUUCUAUCUAAUCAUAAAACAAUGCAAAAAAAAAAAGACAAAACCAAGAAUGUAAUAAAUACUUUUAAAAUUAAUGUCCACAAACAUAGAACCCUCCCUGAAUCCUAAGCAACUCUGUACAGAAUGAAGGCUUAUGUGUAUCUCUUUUUAGUGCCCUUCUCUUUUAAAUGUGAGCGCCCAAAGACUGGGACCCUGUCUUUCGUUAUGUUAAUUAUUUUUUUUAAAUGAUCACUUGAACAAUGAGCAGCACAGUGAGAGAACCAAAGGUCUAGAAUCCUGAAUCUUCUUUCUCCUUUUCUCUGAUGUUAUUUAGAAAUCUCUACCGCUGGCGUUGCUGUGGAAUAUUUAUUAGACCCCUGUGCCUCCACAUCUUUAACAUGGAUUUUCCAUGUCCUACGCGUAUAUAGCAGAACGCAGAGAAUUUUUUUUCUCCACCAGGAGUUACAUGACAGUGCUGUAGCCCGUGGCCCCUUCAGAGAGCUGGCAGGAGGCAUCUCAUUUGAAUAACUGUUUCUGUGGUGUGAAAAUCUUGCCACUGAAGAUGAGGAAACCGAGGCUCUGAGAACCGAGCACCCUGCCAACGAUUCAUCGUAGUAAGCGCAAACCUGGGGCGCACACUUCGCUCUAACGACCCAAGUCAUGGACCACAACAUCGUUCGAAACACAGAAUCUCCUGGUCUCCAAGUCUCCUUGCUUGACAGCAUGGAUCUCAUUUCAUCAAGGUAUGUGCCAGAAACCUGAAGACACAUUCGUAAACAAAUUAUCGUCGGGGAAACUAGGUGGAAAUAGAUUUAGGUAAAGUGAUAAUGGAUACAAUCACGGUAACCUUCAAAGGAUGGAUUAGCGGCCAAUGUAUCCCUGGGAGUAUGUGCAAUAGAGCUCUAUCCUUGGCCCUGUUCUGAUCAACAUCUUAUUAAUGCUUGGGACGAGAGCGGCGACGGUAAUAUAAUAGAACGUGUAAACACCUACUGAAUAAAUGAAUGAAUGAAUAUUUGAACUAUGCUGAUCAUAUCUUUAGCUGUCACAAAGUUUCAAGUCACAAUAAUUAUAUCAAACAGGUAAUUUCAGAUUAAAUUUUUUAAAUGUUUAUUUUUGAAAGAGAUAGAGAUGAGCGGGGGAGGGGCAGA